rnacentral:rRNA from 1 species
GACGAACGCUGGCGGCGUGCUUAACACAUGCAAGUCGAACGGAAAGGCCCUGCUUUUGUGGGGUGCUCGAGUGGCGAACGGGUGAGUAACACGUGAGUAACCUGCCCUUGACUUUGGGAUAACUUCAGGAAACUGGGGCUAAUACCGGAUAGGAGCUCCUGCUGCAUGGUGGGGGUUGGAAAGUUUCGGCGGUUGGGGAUGGACUCGCGGCUUAUCAGCUUGUUGGUGGGGUAGUGGCUUACCAAGGCUUUGACGGGUAGCCGGCCUGAGAGGGUGACCGGCCACACGGGAACGGAGAGACGGGCCAGACGCAUACGGGAGGCAGAAGUAGGGAACGGUCCGAGAGGGGCGAAAGCGUGAAGGAGGAACGCGGCGUGAGGGAGGAAGGGCGCAGGAUAGGAAAAAGCGGUGAUGAGGGAAGAACAGAUGGGAAAGUAAAUGUGCACAUAGUGACGGUAAAUAAUCAGAAAGGCACGGCUAACUACGUG